UACGGAGGGAGCUAGCGUUAUUCGGAAUUACUGGGCGUAAAGCGUGCGCAGGCGGCUUUGCAAGACAGAUGUGAAAUCCCCGGGCUCAACCUGGGAACUGCAUUUGUGACUGCGAUGGCUAGAGUACGGUAGAGGGGGAUGGAAUUCCGCGUGUAGCAGUGAAAUGCGCAGAUAUCAGGAGGAACACCAAUAGCGAAGGCAGCUCGCUGGGAACGUUACUGACACUGAGGCGCGAAAGCGUGGGGAGCGAACAGG
rnacentral:rRNA from 1 species